GUCCUAUUGUUUAUUUAAUAGGUCUGGCCUGCCCAGUGAUAAUUUUUAACGGCCGCGGUAUAUUGACCGUGCAAAGGUAGCAUAAUCAUUAGUCUUUUAAUAGGAGGCUGGAAUGAAAGGUCUAACGAGAAAUUUACUGUCUCAAUUACAAACUUGAAUUUAUCUUUUGAGUCAAAAGACUUAAAUUUGAUUGGUGGACGAGAAGACCCUAUAGAGCUUAACAUUUUUGUUUUUAUAUUUAUUUAGAUUUAUGAUUUAUUUAUAUUAAUAAAGUUGUUUUGUUGGGGAGACAAUCAAUAUAUAUUUAACUUUUAUCAUAAUGUAAACAUUAAUUUAUGAUUUUUGGAUCCAGAAUUUUUGAUCAUUAGUUCAAGUUACC
rnacentral:rRNA from 1 species